UCCUGUGUUUCUUCGCGCCUUGGGU
rnacentral:piRNA from 1 species